CAGUUAAGAGAUUUUUACAAGGUGGAUGUAUUACACAAAUAGAAAAUCUAUGGAGGCAGCUGAAGGUAGUUCGAAUGGAUUGGGUAGAGAGCAUAUCUAGGAGUCUACUGAAACAAAAACUUCUGUAGUUGAAAGCAGUGAAACCAAGCUAUACUCCCAAUUGAGAAGCACUCCUUCCCACUGCCCACUGCCACUCCCUGCACUCACUGCCUCCUUCUCCCUCAAACACCCUCACUCACCCAACUGCACUCCGUGCACUCCCUCCCACUGCCUGCACUCACUGCCUCCCCAUCCCUCACACACCCUCACUCACCCACCUACACUCCCUCCCAUUGCCUCCCCCUCCAUGCACUCCCCACCCCCUCCCACUGCCCUGCCACAGUCCCCCCACUGCAUUGCAAAAAGAUUUUACAACUGAAUCAGAGGUAUUCUUGCCCCAUGGCCUCCCUCCAAGUACUAGGAUAUUCUUGUUGUUUCUUGACCAUGUAGUAUUCCAAAUCCCAUUUGCUUAAAGAAACCUGUCCUGUCAAUGCCAUUUUUUCCUGCCCAGUCACAUGCUCAAAUUUGAACAAAGCCGGGGUGUUGUGAAAGUACAUUCUACACCCUAUGUAUGAUUGUAUGUUGAUGAUAAUUGAAGAUCGUAAACUUAAUAUAGCGACUGAUGUAUUUUGUAGUUAUCUGUACACUGUUGCGAGUCGAUGAAAGAUUGACAAAGCAGUUUUGGUUGUUGUAGCCAUCUUCAUUGGAGUGAAAUUUGGAGUAAGCGGAACCGCAGAAAACCUCCCACAAUGGUACGCCAUAGUGGUGGUGCUAUUCAUAUGCAUCUAUGUAGCUGCCUUUGCUUGGUCAUGGGGUCCAUUGGGA